AUCAUUUUGUGGUUCAUAAACAUGAUGAAUGGGUGUUCAUGUGCUUGUGUGAGUUGUGCCUCCCUCCAACCUUGUUACAACAUUGGCACAUUACCCGACUGACA
ensembl:snoRNA